AUACCCUGUUUGGAGAUUUUAUUGUAUUUUAACCAUUUACAUGUGUUUAAAGUGAUAAUAGAUGAAUUGUUAAGUUUACAAAAAUAUCAGUUUUAUAGAUCUAGUAUUUAUUUAUAACCCCCGAUUUGAAACGACAACUAUCUGUUGAUUUGGAGCAAUCGCCGUCCGUAUGUUGAUUACUUUUGGGGUACGCAUGUAAUGAUCAUACUUGUGGUGUCAAAUAGCAAAGUUUCACUUUAGUUGAAGCUAAUCGAUCAAACAUUUAUCUUAGUACAUCUGUGGUAGAUGUAACUGAGGAAAAUAUUUAAAAUAGGUUAGAGGAAGAAGGCUAUUGACGAUGGGGUCAAAAACAAUAAUCAUAAACCUAGUCACACUUCUGUAAGGAUUGAGCAUGUCACACAGCGUUCUCAAUAUACAACAAUACCUUUGUAUCCGGUGUUUAUGAGCAGAAUCAGAAACUGAUACACGAUAGAGUCCAAAUUUUGUUGUAAAAGUAUAAAACUCAAAAGGAGCAAAAGUGCUUUCUUCCAUGUUGUAGGAUUUCUUGAAUAGAUUGAAAAAGUUUAUGGAAAUAAUGAUUGAUAUAUCAUUAUUGUUUUUCAUCUCAUCUUCUCUGACAAUGGCGUCAAAUUGCGAUAAACCGCUUGAUUUUUAUCUUAAUGGCCGGAAGAAGAUAGUAGGUUUUGAAAAUAUAAUCGAAAAAAUAAAAGAGGCACUUCAAAUAACAAAUUUGACAGAAGUUGAAAAUCCGUUGAUCAGUGAUUUCUUCUCAAAUGAAAAUACUUUUGUGGAAUUUAAAGUUGCAAGAAAAGGACCACUGAAGAUAUGUGUUGUUUCACUGAAUAAUAGAAAAUGCUUUGAAAUAAGAUGUGACUGUAAGGACGUCUCCAGACAACAUGGACAUGGUAGUCUACAAAUAGUUAACGUUAGACUACUCUGUGAAGCCAAAACACACAAUGAUUCACUUCA